GAUCAUUUUUAUUUUUUGCUGAAUGGCCAAAAAAAAAAAAAAAUUCGUAUGGUUCUUGAAUGAUAAAGAAAUCUCUGUAGUGGAUUUAUGGAGUUGGAAAACUUGUCGUUUGGAUUUGUUCGAAAACAUGCAUCAAAUUCAACUUGUCAUCAACAAUAUUGACGAAUAAUUGUUGUUAUUGUUGACUGCCACAACAAAUUUGUUUGCAUAAAGAUUAAAUCCUUUUUUUCAUGCAAUCCAUCACAUCAACAACAACAUCUGUGACUAUGAUGAAAACUUUUCGACAAAACAAGACAAACAUACAAGAUGUGACGACAACAGCAAAAAAAAGUAAAGAAAAUUAAUUUUCAAACAAUCAUGCAAAAUGUGACAAAAUAUGGAAUUUGUCAUCAUCCACAAAAAAUGGUAUUGAUUGAUAGUCCGUGAUCGACCAUCCCUAUCCAUUGGUUUGGUAAUAAAGUUUACAUUUUUUUUUCAUGGUGCCGUAUUAUAAACUACCAGCACCAGCAGCAGCAGCAGUUAUUGGUUUGAUCGAUGUGUUGUGUUAAUUUACCAGGUGAUUUUGUAUUUUUGAAAAAUGAAAAACAAAAUUUUGUUAACCAACACAUAAAUUGAAAACAAUUGCCACAUUUGCGAAAUUGCAACUGAAUGAUGAAUUUUUUUUUUUUUAUAUGAAAAUUAAAAUUAAAUUCCAGCGAAAAAUUCAUCCACUGGAAAUCCCUUUCGGAUGUUUCAUUCAUUCAUUGAUUCUUUGUGUCAUAUAAUGCAAAAAUCGUAAAUUUCACCAUCAUCAUCAUCAGCCACCGCCUUGAAUGAAGAAAAAAUUCCUCUACAACGGAUGUAACUUAUUAAAAUUCAUCAUCACUUCGUCUCCAUUCAUUCGUUCAUUCAAUUCAAUAAGUGACAUAAUGAUUACUACGAUAUUGAUGACGGCCUAUUUUCUCAUUUGGUUUAAAUAUAAUUUCCUUUUUUCUUCGUUUUUGCUUUGCCAUAACUUUUUGUUGUUAAAUUCAGAUCUCGAUCAAAUCAAAAAAGAGAGAAAAAUCUUCAAUUUAACAUCCUGGCGACAAUGAUGAUGAUCUGCAUCAUCAUGUUUGUUUGGUGAGUGUAGAAAUAACGAUUUCUAAUUAUUAAUUUGGUGAUUUUAAACUUUUUUUUUUUGCAACAGUGAAAAUUUCAUCAUUGGUCAUAAUCAUAGCCAUCAUUGGAUGACGAUCACAUAUACACACACAGAGAGACACCAUAAUUCAAUACGAAUACGAAGACGGGAAAAAAAAUAUCUAGCCAUUAAUUUUAAUCAGCAUUUAAAACAUCACAAAGGCAAUGAACGAACGAAAUAAAUUGAUCACACUUAAUCUUUCCAGCAACGACAACAACAACAACGACGACGACGACGACAACAAUAAUGGAACAAAUUAGUUGUGUGUGUGUGUGUGUAUGUAUGUGCAUGUUUAGCUCAAUUAAAGUUUUUCGUUUUCA